GGGCGAGUGGUGGAAUGGUAUACACGAUGGACUUAAAAUCCAUUGGCCUUUGGCUGUAAGGGUUCGACUCCCUUCUCGCCCA
rnacentral:tRNA from 1 species